rnacentral:lncRNA from 1 species
AACAUUUCAAUAACACAUUAUGCACUCCAGCUUUUUGAGACUAGUCACAAAGAAAGCAUGAACUACUGGAAAGCAUUGUAAUCAUAGCACUAUGUCUCUACAAGUUGGUCUCUAGAUCAUAAGUACAGGCAUAUGUACAAAAGUAGAAACAAAUAGAGUUCAUAUCGGUUUUCCUUGUUGCAUUCCUUCCGUCGUUCUUCGUCAUUAUUGCCUCGUCACUUGCACGGUCGAACGUAGAAAGAUAUAAUCAAGCGCAAUUGCAACCAUGGACGUGAGCUGAACUCUGCAAACAAAGCAAACUAAAGAGAGAAAAGAAAUCUUUUUUGGUUUUCCAAAGGUUAAACGAAAGCAAAACAAAAGAGAAAUAUUUUUGUUGUUUUUGCAAAGAAAGAACAAAGAAGAACAGGCAG